rnacentral:rRNA from 1 species
UACAGAGGUCUCAAGCGUUGUUCGGAUUCAUUGGGCGUAAAGGGUGCGUAGGCGGCGCGGUAAGUCGGGUGUGAAAUCUCGGAGCUUAACUCCGAAACUGCAUUCGAUACUGCCGUGCUUGAGGACUGGAGAGGAGACUGGAAUUUACGGUGUAGCGGUGAAAUGCGUAGAUAUCGUGAGGAACACCAGAGGCGAAGGCGGUUUCCUGGACAGUUACUGACGCUCAGGCACGAAAGCAUGGGGAGCAAAAGGG